rnacentral:lncRNA from 1 species
CCUUAUUUCUACAAGUGUAGGGUUUCAAGCUUUGGUUGAUUUGAAAUUUAAUCUAAAAGUUCAUAAAGGAUUGGAUUCCUGUCUCCAUCUCAACCAAAAAUCUAGUUAAAGAAUAUUACUUUAUUAAAAAUGUAUUUGAUUUAGUCCUAUUCUUUAACUUAGAUUUUUGGUUGAGAUGGAGGCGUGAAUCCAAACUGGAAUUUAAAACCAAACGAAUGCCCAGAUUCAAUCAGAUCGAGCGUUAACCAUCGUUGGCCAACAUCCCCAUAGCAGAUGUUAUGACGGUGUUGGAGCUGAAUCUACAGUAUGAGCUGACACAUACUGUAGGUGAGUGGCUGCUUUUGUGUGUCACAAACCACUCCCUUCCUUAGAAGUGUUAAGUGUAGGCUGUAUCAAUGUUGGAAAUAACUCUCAAGUGUCAAACUGUUGAUGUCAAACCAAUGAGCCAUUCACAGUUUCACUGUACCGACCCUGUAUACUUAGACUUGCAUGGCUUAAUCUUUGAGACAAGCAUAUGUUAGGCUAAUGCAUGUUUAAAUGUUCAUUUGGAUGAGUGUAUUUAUAGCCUAUCAGUCUAAUUCAAGUUUUUGAACUUGUAACGAGGCUGUGUUGGAUUUGUCGGUUUAUAGUCGGGCGUGGUUUAGUUGCAUGCAGUGUCCAUGAUAAGGUAAGGCAACGAGCCACUUGUAGAUUUGACAGCUCUAAAGCAGAUCCACCUCCAACACCUCCAUAUAACAACCACUAUGCGGAUGUUAUUGAAUCCAUCCCUUAGUAAGUGGCACAGAUUAAACUAUCCAAGAAGAAGAUAAUCUCCUUCAAAUGUGGAUAUUUGGUUGUUUUCAACCAAACACAAUUCAAUAUGACUUUUGUAAUUCAGUAAAUAUCCUAAAGUGAAGGUUAUUUUACAAACUAAUGUACACAUCCAUGGCCACAUUUUGAGGUUACUGUAGCUUUAAAUGUCUUAUAUAAUCAAAGCAUGCAUGUUCAAGAUAGCGUGCAAAGGCCGCAGGUCUGUGGAGAUCUUCACAAUUGCUGUAAUAAUCUGUGCAGAAUCUCAAACAGCAUUGAUUACUUGCACCAUGUACUUUUAAUGUAAUCUCAACUGCAAUUUAGUUAUUUUGGUUCUGCUUUAAGAUAAAGCACAGUGAGAACACAUUACGUUGUUGUAUAAAUAAACAAAAUAUCUGGCA